rnacentral:rRNA from 1 species
GAUGAACGCUGGCGGCGUGCCUAAUACAUGCAAGUCGAGCGAACGGACGAGAAGCUUGCUUCUCUGAUGUUAGCGGCGGACGGGUGAGUAACACGUGGAUAACCUACCUAUAAGACUGGGAUAACUUCGGGAAACCGGAGCUAAUACCGGAUAAUAUUUUGAACCGCAUGGUUCAAAAGUGAAAGACGGUCUUGCUGUCACUUAUAGAUGGAUCCGCGCUGCAUUAGCUAGUUGGUAAGGUAACGGCCUACCAAGGCAACGAUGCAUAGCCGACCUGAGAGGAUGAUCAGCCACACUGGAACUGAGACACGGUCCAGACUCCUACGGGAGGCAGCAGUGGGGAAUCUUCGGCAAUGGGCGAAAGCCUGACGGAGCAAUGCCGCGUGAGUGAUGAAGGUCUUCGGAUCGUAAAGCUCUGUUAUUAGGGAAGAACAUAUGUGGAAUUAUCUGUGCACAUCUUGACGGUACCUAAACAGAAAGCCACGGCUAACUACGUG